CAGGGUCCACAGCUGAGAAGUGAUACAUGGCUCAGUAAUAGGCCGAGCCCUGGGGAGAGCAGCUCUGUGGCCUCGAACAUUGGACUUCACAUAAAACAGUGACUGUGAUGGUAAAGUGUGGAGGGUCGUCACCUUGACAGUAAAUAAGAUCUGAGCGACCUUUCACGAAGCUGAGACCUGGCCGCUUAGCAGCAGGAGGCCGUUCUGGAGCAGGACUUCUAGAGAGGAUUCCAGGUGUUGCAGGAGCACUAGGAGCAGCGACACAAGCAGACAGCUUCAAAGGGAAUGGCGGCAAAAUGUAAAUCAGACCAGAUGUCCUCACAGAGACGGAAAAAGGAGGAACAUCAGCCUUCAUUCAGCUCCAGAGUGUUGUCCUGCUGCUCAGCUCCCCGCUGCAGUGAAAAGACCUCUGAAGCUGCAUUUGUGCUGCUCGUCAGGCCUCUGAAACCACAACACAACGAGUUCACCGGAGCAGAGAAGCAGAGCUGUGAAACUCUGAGAGCAUCCUGCUGAUGACAGGAAAGUCAGAUCCUCUGUUCUCCACUUGGACUGUUUCUCCGUCUGUCGUAUAAAGCUUUAAUCUACUGGAGGAGUCGUCUCUGGGCAUGUACAGUUUGUGUUUGUCGCCCAAAAGCUUUAAAACUUUGAAUGUGACAUAACCUGGGUCACACUGCAGUAUUUUUAACUUCCAUCUGUACAGGCGUGUGUGAAAUUGACCUGUCAGCAUCGUUUGUGGAGACUGUGAGGCCGUCGCCAUGGCGGACCCUGUUUGUACCACCAGCUCUACCUUUCAAAGUUCAUUUGCAGUUAUUCCUUCUUCAACGGAUCUGAAGACGUGAAAGUCUUUUGGAAAUCCACCGAUCAGACUUGAUUCAUCUUCACUACCAGCUGUAGAGGCGAUGAGUUCAAUCCUCAGAGUGUCAUUUUCUACUUGAUUUGACUCUUCAUCUGUGGACUCCAGUAAAUAUGGCUGAGCAUCAAACUGACAUGAUCUGCAGAUGUCCUCAUGCCGGUUCAUGAGGUAUCCCAGCAUCCUCUCUGCAGAGCUGAUUAGAGGCCCCUUUCCUGUAACAGAGGACAAGACAAGGACAACACGCUUCCCGUCUGCCAGCAGAGCUCUUAGAUUCAGCCGGUCUGGCCGAGGCGGAGGCUGCAGCUCCAUGAAGACGGAUGGUCCAAUCCUGCGGGGGGAAAGGUCAAGGAGGAGGUCUCCAUGGGCUUCAGCAGGUUGUUCUUGUUUGCACUAGAGGGCGCCACAUAGCAGACCACCGUUAUGGUGAAGUGUUGCUGCUCCCAUCUAAAGAAGGUAAGAGUUCAUCCUAAAUAUGAGCAUUUUGAGGUGAUUUUAGAAUGGACAAGUCAAGAAAUGCGUCCAGUUCUCAGUGAAUAAUGCAGAAUGUUACGAACAGGUCACUUUCUAUGAGAGGAAUGUUCAGAUGUAUUUAAAAGCAUGUCUAUGUGGAGGGGAAAUGAAACCAGAAAGCAGCUUUAAGAAGAGAAAGAAGAACAGCCUGAAGUCAGAACGGAGCUUCUUCUGGAGGAGUCAUGAAAUACAACCAGGUGCCCCUAUUUUUUGAUAAGGCAUGGCUGUGGUGGAUCAGGGGGAUUAUCAGUGCAGCUGGAGAGCACGCCUGACCAGAGACAAAGCAUCUAUCACACCCAAUCUUACAUAAACUGCCGACGCUCGCGCUGCCCCGGACGGCAUUAACCUCCCGGGUAUCUCUGACCCCAGCCGGCGAUGCCCGGCUCACCGUGUCGUCUCACCAAAUGUCACACCCUUUGACAUAUUGAGACUAUAUGAAGAGAGCUCCGAGCAGGAGCAGUUUGGACGUCAUAUUUAUAGCCUGACCUUUACUUCACCCUCCACUGAGUGACUUACAGGACUCUAUGUUCAUCAGCCUUCAGGGUUUGAAGGUUCUGGUGCAUUGUGAGGAGUAAAAAGCUGCAUUUACGCCUGGUUUAACAUGUGAUCUGGACAGUGUCUGCUUUUAGAACAGCAUGGAUGUUUUUUCUUCAGGAUGGAGUCCAUUUACAUCUGCUAACAUCUGAUCUCAAUGCAAAUUUUCACCUUGCACUGUCCGAUUGUAUCUUACCACCAGGUAUAAACAGGGUCAAACUGCACAUGUUGUGGUGGUUGUAUUUUAUAUAUUCUUGUCAACAAACUCAUGAAUCAAGCAAAACCUACAGUAAAUGGCUCCUAAUGAUAAGUGUUGUUUGUGUACACAGCCUGGAACAUCUUAUUCCUUUGUGCCACGGAACUCCAUUGUUGUCAAAAAACUAUUUAAAAACUCAUCCAGGAGCCACACUGUUGCACAGUUUGACGUGUUCCUUCAUUACCAUGAACACUCACAGUGCAGUUUGUUGUGACUCAGUCCCUCAUAAAGCAUCGUGCUGCUGGAAACCUUCACUAGAGUCACUUCUGUGUGCUGCAGUACAGCACCAAAACAUGCUAUUACCUGCUGUUUAAGGCCAAAUAAUGCAGUGAACUAUAGUGUCAGGAGUUUAGUGAGCCUUCUUUUUGUAAACUAUAUAGUCGUGAGUUGUUUAUAAAGAGGGUCGUAGGUCAUUUUAAGAACCCUCUCUGUAGAAUCUCUUUCAGGACGGUUUUUGUGGACAAAUUAAGUUCUUGCUCCAGGGUAGGUACUUCAAUGCGGCCCUUGAAAACCUGCUAUAUGGGGCUUAGUGCUGAUUGGUUAAAUUCACAGUACCAACAGUUCAGCUUUUUACUGCUCAUAUGGUGUCCUCGUCUACUGGCAUUCUUCCAACGUUGCCAUCAUCCAUCCAUUUAUGCAUUUUCUUCUGCUUAUCCAGGACAAGCAGCUCAUUCCAGACAUCUCUCCAGCAACGUUUUUCCAGUUCCUUCUGGUGAAUGCUGGGAUGUUCCCGGGCCAGAUGAGAUAUACAAUCCCUCCAGCAUAUUUUAGGUCUACCCCAUAGUCUCCUCCUUGUUGAAGUUGUCUGGAAAACCUCUAAAGGAAGUUGCCCAGGAGGCAUCCAAAUCAUACUGAACCAGCUCAGCUUUCUUUCACCAUUGGUGAGGGUUGACUGGUAAAUGAUGAUCCCUCACGUUGCCACAUUGUCAUCAACAAUGUAAAAUUCACCGUAUAGGCUCACAUAACAAACCUCCCUUCUCUAUCUCCUCCGUGCUUAUAGAACUGGAUUUAUAUCCACUAAGUACUCUUUGUGGCUGCACUAACAUGAUAGUCAAAGCUUCUGGAUCCUUCACUCCAAUGGAAACAAAGGCUGAAACAGGCUGAUUAGGAGGUCAUUGCUGUCAACAUUUGUGCCACAUAAUGUCUUGGAUUCUGGAGCUGAGAUCCACAGACAUGAGAUCAAGGUCAGGAAGUACUAAGACAGGAACAAACUCAUGAGGCUCUAGUCCACAGCAGGAACUUUCCCCACCAGGAACCUUUGAAGGACCUCAGUGCUUUCACACUGAAGGGACCAGGCUUUAUAUUGAGUGCCAAGGGGAAUUAUUUUACCCCCUGCAGAAAGUUCCUGCUCAAGGUGGUAGCAAAAAAGUACAAGCACUUUGGGGGUGGGGCUUGCAGUGCCAAACUUCUCUGAUUGGUUGAGUACUUGCAGCAUUUUGACUUGGAUACCAUUUUUAAAUAUUCCUAGCUGUACUGAUGCAGUUUGUUUGUUGUUCUUUGUGCUUUGUCAUAGAGUCAGAGAAGAAGAUGAACCAUCAAGGUGUAAUUAUUUGCACAUUGACAGGUAGAGCAGCUAUUUCACACGUCAGUGUAAAACUUCUGUCAGCUUCACUGAUCUUUAGGCCAAAAGUAACUGUGGGUGAAACUUUUCUAUUGCUAGUUUUGGCAUUUUCAUGGGAUUCAUUUGUGAAACACUCUUUUUUUUUUUUGCAUAUUUCAUGACGGGCAUUGAUUGUCUUUGUGUCAUCGCGACUAACCCUGUUUCCUAGAAAACACUUAACUAUGUCAGCAUAGUGAAAAUGUAUUUUGGAACUGGGUUUUUUUGGCUUAAUAAAUGGUUCAUCCUACAUCAUUAAUAACAGACUGGACAGAUGUUGCUCCAUUGUGUUUGACCAGUGUGCUGACAGCGUGUGAUGGAUGUGAGGUCUGAUGUGUGACUGAUUAUACAGGAACAGAGUUGGACAGGCGCUCUGCAAGACUUACCCUGGAGAUGGACGCGCUAGUCGUGUUUCAACAGCUGAAACAUCAAAAUAAAUGCUACAAACUAACUGGAAAUUACCAUGACAUAUAAAUACAAUCAUUUUCUAUCAUUAAAUACAUUUUAUAGUCUUAGUUUCCCAUGAAACUUUUAUUUCAAAUGUUUAUUGAUGUAUGUUUACAUGUGUAAAAACAAUAAAUUAUGUAUAGUAUAUAUUAGCAAUAGAUAAAUUGCUAAUCAUUUAUAUAUAAUUGUAGAAACUGUGUUUUGGAGCAUCA